rnacentral:misc_RNA from 1 species
GAUGAAGAACGCAGCGAAAUGCGAUACGUAGUGUGAAUUGCAGAAUUCAGUGAAUCAUCGAAUCUUUGAACGCACAUUGCACCUCUCGGUAUUCCGGGAGGUAUGCCUGUUCGAGCGUCAUUUGUACCCUCAAGCUCUGCUUGGUGUUGGGUGUUUGUUCCGCCUCUGUGUGUGAACUCGCCUCAAAACAAUUGGCAGCCGGCGUACUUGUUUCGGAGCGCAGCACAUUUUGCGAUCCAGAUCAGCGUACAGCGGCAUCCAAGAAGCCUUAUUUAACGCUCUUGACCUCGGAUCAGGUAGGGAUACCCGCUGAACUUAAGCAUAUCAAUAAGCGGAGGA